rnacentral:rRNA from 1 species
AGUGAACGCUGGCGGUAGGCCUAAUACAUGCAAGUCGAACGGCAGCACAGUAAGAGCUUGCUCUUACGGGUGGCGAGUGGCGGACGGGUGAGGAAUACUUCGGAAUCUACUUUUUCGUGGGGGAUAACGUAGGGAAACUUACGCUAAUACCGCAUACGACCUACGGGUGAAAGCAGGGGAUCUUCGGACCUUGCGCGAUUGAAUGAGCCGAUGUCGGAUUAGCUAGUUGGCGGGGUAAAGGCCCACCAAGGCGACGAUCCGUAGCUGGUCUGAGAGGAUGAUCAGCCACACUGGAACUGAGACACGGUCCAGACUCCUACGGGAGGCAGCAGUGGGGAAUAUUGGACAAUGGGCGCAAGCCUGAUCCAGCCAUACCGCGUGGGUGAAGAAGGCCUUCGGGUUGUAAAGCCCUUUUGUUGGGAAAGAAAAGCAGCAGGUUAAUACCCCGCUGUUCUGACGGUACCCAAAGAAUAAGCACCGGCUAACUUCGUG